UAACCAUGGUGGGGGCAUUCGAGUUCGUAACUCUUGAAUCUUCCCCAUGCGUUUUUGAAUGAUUCCUGAGGAUUUUGACGGAAGGUAGAGAUUCGCCUCCUUACUUC